CAGCAAUUAUGAACCUGCAGAAGUGAUAA
rnacentral:piRNA from 1 species